GUUUGAACAAAGCUGUUUAACUCUUUCAAAUGAUCCUUCUUGCUAAGCCCCAACAGCAGGCACAGAGAGGGGGAACCCUGGAGGUGAACUGCUACCCAGCUACCCAGAGUGGUGAAGAGAACACAUAUGGGAAGGAGUGCUCUAGUAGGGUCUAUAGCACAUAACAUCUACUGACCUUCAGUCGACACCAGGUAGGGAGAUGUCUUCCUACCCAAACCAUCUCCUGCUUCCUUAUAUAUGUAGACCUCUCCUUUGUUUAAAGGCUUCAGAGCCUGGGUAGAGUGGACCUGUUGUGUGAGGAAGCCCAGUUUCUUCCUUUGAAUCUGAUGCACCCCUCUGCUCAAAGAUCAGUACUUACAGGCAUGAUCUUCCAGGCCGGGAGUCAGAGUAUAAGUAUAAGUCUAGUAGGGACAUCCAAAGCUUGUUUCUGACAUGUGCUGCCCAAAGUAUUGUCUGAGAACUGCCUGAAGAAGUCAGUGAUUAGAUCAGAUGAAAAUGCCUGUCUCGUUUUUUUCCUAACUGAAUUCAAACACCCCAUGUGGUAGCUACCAUGGCUCCCUUCUUCAGAGCCAUCUAAGGGUCAUCAUGUGUCCAGGUUGAGGAGGGCACACACAGCCUGACAAAGAGGCACACAGGUCAUCAGCCUAGAUCAGGAAGAGUUCCCAGUGGACUGCAGAGCCAACUCCAUAGGUGAGUAGCUUGCAGAGAUCCCAUCCCACCCUAAGGCCUGGAACUUGGUGGAGCAGCCUGGGCUCUGCUCAGCCUCCCAUGCUGAGCACAAAACACAGUUCUCUGGACACAGUUUGGCAUCCUCAGACAGGAGAAACCAUAACUGAUCUGUUUCCCUGCAGGCUCAUUAUUGAGACUGCACAUGUGGACAGCCAGUAGGGGCUCUUAGAAAAAUUCCAGACCUGGAAGCUGACCACCCCUCCCAUAGGGUGAAUCUAGCCCUAAAAAAUUAAGUUCAAGCCUGGCAUAGUAGUGGCACACACCUUUAAUCCCAUCAC